UACAGAGGUCUCAAGCGUUGUUCGGAUUCAUUGGGCGUAAAGGGUGCGUAGGCGGCGCGGUAAGUCGGGUGUGAAAUCUUGGAGCUUAACUCCGAGACUGCAUUCGAUACUGCCGUGCUUGAGGACUGGAGAGGAGACUGGAAUUUACGGUGUAGCGGUGAAAUGCGUAGAUAUCGUAAGGAAGACCAGUGGCGAAGGCGGGUCUCUGGACAGUUCCUGACGCUGAGGCGCGAAGGCCAGGGGAGCAAACGGG
rnacentral:rRNA from 1 species